GCAAUCCUUUUCUUAAAUCCAAUACUAAAGAAAAACACAAAAGCAAAGAAAACAAAAGGGUAGCUCCAAGCUUUACCCUGGCUCACGACUAUCAUAGUCUGGCCCCCAUUCCUUCUUCCUCAACCUCUUUAUCCUACCAAAAUAUGAAUCGUCAUUCAGCAGAUUCCACAGGUUGUGAAACUUUGGCUUCUUAACCACAUAUGUUCC
rnacentral:lncRNA from 1 species